AAUGGCACUGGAAGAAUUCACGGGGUAAUUUCUAUACAACCCGUGAUCUCUUAGUGGCAUCUA
rnacentral:pre_miRNA from 1 species